rnacentral:lncRNA from 1 species
GUUCAUCAGCUCACACGCGCUAGGAAUGGCAUUGCUGCACACUACCAGAUCACACAACAACACAGUCUAUGGGAAAAUUCACACAGACAGCAACACGCUUAUUUACAAAUUAUCCGAUGCACAUUAGGGCAUAGCAAGUUGAGGAAACCUGUACCGGAGACACCUCACAAAAACAACAGCACAUACAGAUAGAUAGAGCACCAGUCAGUCAAGAGGAGAGGGGGGUUCAGUCCUUCAAAGAAAGAUAAGAAAAUAUCACACUUCAAUUGUUGGAGAAAAACUGAACGCGUCAGCGUUAUUUGGAAGUUUUUUUGAGCGAUUUUUUUUGCAUACUGGCCUAUCAUCACAUCUCGGCAUCCUUACAAAUAGCAUCGGUCCACUUUGGAAGUGACGAGUGUGCCAACAGUAGUGAGGACGCGUUUCCUGCCCCGCACACCACCGGCAUCAAUGUCAUUGCUAACCUCCUGAAAGCUGCAGUUGUCUCGUCGCUGAUACAGAGAGAAAUCCAGACAUAGAAUGGCCGAUGAGCUGGUGACCGUCACUCAUGGGAUUGUGGUGUGACUUGUUCGGCUGGAGGGAAGACUGCUGAUAUUCUUUGAAAAAUCUUCAUUGACUCAGUGCGUGUUCAAUCUACCAGAGCAGGGAUGAUCAGGAUCUUCCCGGAUUUCAGCGUUCAGGUGACGGCGGCAGGUGGAGGAGCCGGGGGAAUGCCAUCAGGUCCUGCGGUGGGGAGAAUCCCCGGUACCACUAACGGGAACCCGCAGAACGUCCAGGGGAUCACGUCCUAUCAACAAAGGGAAAUUAAAACCCUACACCCUUUCUGCAUGGAGGGAUCAGAGGAGGAGGCCAUAGUUGAUGCCCAAUUCAUGUCCAAAUUCCCCCAGUAAGUUGGAAGUCUUAUUUCACACAUUCAUUUAGGACAUUAAGUGGUUUUAAAACAUUGUUUAUUUAUAUCACCAAGGUCAUUUUGAGUGCCUGCGUAGAUUUUCAUGUCCUUUGAUACUUGUUAGCCUGACAUAGUGCUGCGUAUGAAACCAAGUCAAUAAACGGAGCAGCACUAAACCUCUUUGAAGAGAAAGUGAGAUAGAGAGAGAGAGAGAGAGAGAGAGAGAGAUAGUGAGAGAGAGAGAGCGAGAGAGAGAGAGACAGAGAGAGAGAGAGAGAGAGAGAGAGAGAGAGAGAGAGAGAGAGAGAGAGAGAGAGAGAGAGAGAGAGAAGCAUUAGCUGAUGAAUGAGGGGCUUGUAGUCAUGUUGCACUUUGUCCGAUU